rnacentral:rRNA from 1 species
GACGAACGCUGGCGGCGCGCCUAACACAUGCAAGUUCGAACGAGCGAGAGAGAGCCUCGCUUUCCUUCAAGCGAGUGGCGAAACGGGUGAGUAACGCGCGAGGAAACCCGCCUCAAAGAGGGGGAACAACAGUUCGGAAACGACUGCUAAUACCGCAUAAGCCCACAGGUCGGCAUCGACCAGAGGGAAAAGGAGCAAUCCGCUUUCGAGAUCGGCCACGCGUCCGAUUAGCUAGUUUGGUGAGGUAACGGCCCACCAAGGCGACGAUUCGGUAGCCGGACUGAGAGGUUGAACGGCCACAUUGGGACUGAGACACGGCCCAGACUCCUACGGGAGGCAGCAGUGGGGAAUAUUGCACAAUGGGGGAAACCCUGAUGCAGCGACGCCGCGUGGAGGAAGAAGGUCUUCGGAUUGUAAACUCCUGUUGUUGAGGAAGAUAAUGACGGUACUCAACAAGGAAGUGACGGCUAACUACGUGCCAGCAGCCGCGGUAAAACGUAGGUCACAAGCGUUGUCCGGAAUUACUGGGUGUAAAGGGAGCGCAGGCGGGAAGACAAGUUGGAAGUGAAAUCUAUGGGCUCAACCCAUAAACUGCUUUCAAAACUGUUUUUCUUGAGUAGUGCAGAGGUAGGCGGAAUUCCCGGUGUAGCGGUGGAAUGCGUAGAUAUCGGGAGGAACACCAGUGGCGAAGGCGGCCUACUGGGCACCAACUGACGCUGAGGCUCGAAAGUGUGGGUAGCAAACAGGAUUAGAUACCCUGGUAGUCCACACCGUAAACGAUGAUUACUAGGUGUUGGAGGAUUGACCCCUUCAGUGCCGCAGUUAACACAAUAAGUAAUCCACCUGGGGAGUACGACCGCAAGGUUGAAACUCAAAGGAAUUGAUGGGGGCCCGCACAAGCAGUGGAGUAUGUGGUUUAAUUCGACGCAACGCGAAGAACCUUACCAAGUCUUGACAUCCCUUGACGAACAUAGAAAUAUGUUUUCUCUUCGGAGCAAGGAGACAGGUGGUGCAUGGUUGUCGUCAGCUCGUGUCGUGAGAUGUUGGGUUAAGUCCCGCAACGAGCGCAACCCUUACUGUCAGUUACUACGCAAGAGGACUCUGGCAGGACUGCCGUUGACAAAACGGAGGAAGGUGGGGAUGACGUCAAAUCAUCAUGCCCUUUAUGACUUGGGCUACACACGUACUACAAUGGCGUUAAACAAAGAGAAGCAAGACCGCGAGGUGGAGCAAAACUCAGAAACAACGUCCCAGUUCGGACUGCAGGCUGCAACUCGCCUGCACGAAGUCGGAAUUGCUAGUAAUCGUGGAUCAGCAUGCCACGGUGAAUACGUUCCCGGGCCU